rnacentral:rRNA from 1 species
CCUACGGGGUGCAGCAGUGGGGAAUAUUGCGCAAUGGGCGAAAGCCUGACGCAGCGACGCCGCGUGAGGGAUGAAGGUCUUCGGAUCGUAAACCUCUGUCAGCAGGGAAGAACGGUCACUGUGCUAAUCAGCAGUGAAUUGACGGUACCUGCAAAGGAAGCACCGGCUAACUCCGUGCCAGCAGCCGCGGUAAUCGGGGGGGCGCGAGCGUUAAUCGGAAUUACUGGGCGUAAAGCGCUCGUAGGCGGUAGGUCAAGUCAAGGGUGAAAUCCCCGCGGUCAAGGUGGGAACUGCCUUUGAAACUGGCGAAGUGGAGGGUGUGAGAGGAUAGUGGAAGUGGAGGUGUAGGAGUGAA